GAUUAUUUUUAGCAAAAUUAGAGAAAUCUAAUGACACAAAGCUAUAGGGUCCGAAAGGACAGCCAGUUGGUGGU
rfam:Butyrivibrio proteoclasticus strain P18 genome assembly, contig: Ga0066879_138